rnacentral:rRNA from 1 species
UACGGAGGGUGCAAGCGUUGUUCGGAAUCACUGGGCGUAAAGCGCGUGUAGGCGGUCUAUUAAGUCUGUUGUGAAAUCCCGGGGCUCAACCCCGGAACUGCAGCGGAUACUGGAAGACUGGAGUACCGGAGAGGAGGGUGGAAUUCCUGGUGUAGCGGUGAAAUGCGUAGAUAUCAGGAGGAACACCGGUGGCGAAGGCGGCCCUCUGGACGGAUACUGACGCUGAGACGCGAAAGCGUGGGGAGCAAACAGG